UACGGAGGAUGCAAGCGUUAUCCGGAAUGAUUGGGCGUAAAGCGUCCGCAGGUGGCAAUGUAAGUCUGCUGUCAAAGCGUCUGGCUCAACCAGAUAAAGGCAGUGGAAACUACAUAGCUAGAGUAAGGUAGGGGUAGAGGGAAUUCCUGGUGUAGCGGUGAAAUGCGUAGAGAUCGGGAGGAACACCAGAGGCGAAAGCGGCGACCUGGACAGGUACUGACACUCAACUACGAAAGCGUGGGGAGCAAACAGG
rnacentral:rRNA from 1 species